UACAGAGGUCUCGAGCGUUAGGCGGAAUCACUGGGCUUAAAGCGUGUGUAGGCGGAUCGUUAAGUACCUUGUGAAAUCCCACGGCUUAACCGUGGAACUGCUUGGUAUACUGGCGGUCUUGAGCCAGCUAGGGGCUACCGGAACAAAUGGUGGAGCGGUGAAAUGCGUAGAUAUCAGGAGGAAUACCGAUGGCGAAGGCAGGUCUCUGGGCUGACACUGACGCUCAUGCACGAAAGCGUGGGGAGCAAACAGG
rnacentral:rRNA from 1 species